UACGUAGGGUGCGAGCGUUGUCCGGAAUUACUGGGCGUAAAGAGCUCGUAGGUGGUUUGUCGCGUUGUUCGUGAAAACUCACAGCUUAACUGUGGGCGUGCGGGCGAUACGGGCAGACUGGAGUACUGCAGGGGAGACUGGAAUUCCUGGUGUAGCGGUGAAAUGCGCAGAUAUCAGGAGGAACACCGGUGGCGAAGGCGGGUCUCUGGGCCGAUACUGACGCUGAGGAGCGAAAGCGUGGGGGGCGAACAGG
rnacentral:rRNA from 1 species